UGAGUUUGAUCCUGGCUCCGAGUGAAUGCUAGUGGUAUGCUUAACACAUGCAAGUUGAACGCUAGAAAUAGAGUAGCAAAAAGGUGAGUAAAGUAUAAGAAUUUUAAUAUUAAUUUUGGAAAUAAAAAAGGAAAUCCAAAAUAAAAAAAAUAAAGAGAAGGCAGAAAUGGAAAUCUCGUUAAUAUAAAAGCUUAUAUCGAAUUAAGGUAGUUGGAAGGGUAAAAGCCAAACAAGCCAAAGAUUCGUAGUUGGUCUGGGAGGAUGAUCAGCCACAUUGGAAUUGAAAGAAAGACCAACCUCGAUAGAGGCAGCAGUGGGGAAUAUUGGACAAUGAGCGAAAGCUUGAUCCAGCAAUAUCACGUGGGGGAAGAAGUAGAAAUGUAAACCCCUUUUAUUAAUGAAGAUAAUGACAAACAUUAAAGAAGAAGCCCCGGUUAAUUUCGUGCCAGCAACCGCGGUAAAACGGAAGGGGCAAGUAUUAUUCGUAAGGAUUGGGCGUAAAGGGUAUGUAGGCAGUUUGAAAAAGGCCUUAUGUGAAAGAGAAACUGUAAAAAGGAAAAAGAGCAUAAGCAACAAUUAAACUAGAAUAUAUUAGAUGAAUUCAGUAUAUAUAAUUUAGAGGUAAAAUUCGUACAAAUUACAUAGACUGUCAGUAGGCGAAAGCAGAAUUCAAUGAUAUAUUGACGCUGAGGUACGAAGGCAUAGGGAGCGAACAGGAUUAGAGACCCUGGUAGUCUAUGCAGUAAACAAUAAGUGUUCAAUAUUUUUUUAAAUAUUUUAGCUAACGCGUUAAACACUUCGCCUGAGGAAUACGAUCGCAAGAUUAAAACUCAAAGGAAUUGACGGAGAUUUGCGCAAGCAGUGGAGCAUGAAGUUUAAUUCGAUAUAACACGAAAAAUCUUACCAAUCUUUGAAUCAAGUAUAUAAACUUUGAAAGAUGUAAAAUGUUCAAAAGUAUAAGCUUAAGACAGGAGCUGCAUGGUUGUCGUCAGUUCGUGCUGUAAAGUGUAAGGUUAAUUCCUUGAUCGAACGCAAUCCUUAUAUUUAAUUACUAUAAAAUUAAAUAGCUGAAAAUAACACGAUUUACGUGGAAGUUGAGGAUGAUGUCAAAUCGGUAUGGCCUUAAUAGAUUGGGCUACAUUUGUGCUACAACGGUUAAAACAAAAGGAAGCGAAAGUGAGAGCUGGUGCUAAUCCUAAAAAUUAAUCUUAGUUUGGAUUGUUUUCUGAAACUCGAAAACAUGAAAGUGGAAUUGCUAGUAAUCGUAGAUUAGUACGCUUCGGUGAAUAGCUGUCAAAUCUAGUACACACUGCCCGUCAAGCCAUGGGAGUAAUAUAAAUUUAAGAUUUUUUUUCUUUUUAUAUUUAUAUAAUCUUUAGGGUAUUUAUCUAAUACUCAUAUAUAAAUUAUAUAUUAUUUUA
rnacentral:rRNA from 1 species